ensembl:lncRNA
AUCCAUGAAGAUGUGGGUUGGAUCCCUGGCCUCGUUCAGGGGGUUAAGGAUCUGGCAUUGCCAGGAGCUGUGGUGUAGGUCACAGACACGGCUCGGAUCUGGCGUGGCUGUGACUGUGGUGUAGGCCAGUAGCUGCAGCUCCAACUGGACCCCUAGCCUGGGAACCUCCAUGUGCCACGGGUGCAGCCAUAAAAAGAAAACAAAAAAAGUCUCUUUCUCAUUUCAAAACAGUGCGAUAGGGAAGCGUCAAGUAGGGCAGGAGAGCACCGCCUGGUUGCAUCUCUUCGUCCUUCACCCUCCUCGGGAAUUAUCUUCAUCGAGGUCACGCAGGCAGCGAAUCCAAGCCAGAGCUUCCCAAGAACUCGGGGAAGGAGAGAGGGACCCACGACCCGGACGUGACUCUCAAGUGAAUCCCUGGGAGUGGCUGCUGCGGUUUCUUUGGAAGAACUGUUGGGCCAUCCGGUAUGAAGCGCUGAGGUCCUGCAGCUUGCUCACAGGGAAGGUGCCACGUCAUCUGGACAACUUCUGCUGUUUGCAGGAAACACUGCCAUGUUCACUGUCUCCAAGGAAACCAAACAGAUGUGGAUCGUUGCCCCGGAACUCAUUUCGGGUCCUGCAUCCAAGCCCAGGACCAGUCUCGGAGCGUCACACUACAGACUGUGAUAAACACUCGCUUAAUUAGCUUGAGUUAGUAAGCAGCUGACGUAUUCCCGGACAGUUUAACCCAUUAGGAUAAAGUUCUGUUACUCAUCUAAUUUCCUGGUUGCUGAUUUAGAAGUAGCCUUUGGCAGCUCGUACACUGUGAUCUGAUGUUUUACAAGUAAACGUGGCUAAAUCAAUCCAAGUCCAUCGCUGCCAUGGGCAUGAGGCAGAAAUAGUCUUCCGAUGCUGUGAGCCAGUCGGGCCAUACAACACUGAAAAAUGCACAGAGUGCAGCUACGUUCACGGCCCAGACGUCACAGAGAGGGGCUGGCAUUAGGAGAGCAGCCCUUCCCGCUGUUGUGCUGGAGCUGCAAUGUCAGCAGGACAGAAGACACGUGCUCGGUGAGCUGUGUGGCUGCUGCCUUUCACGCUGGUUCCGGGUGAGAUGCUGCCUGUGCUCCAUCAUCAAAACUGACUUGCGUCACAUGGGUUGGAUAUGGGUUGCAAUGUGCCUUUUGAGUGUGUUUUUUACCAAUAUAUUAUUUCCAACAUUUGAAAGGACUAUUUUCAAAAAUAAAAUACUACGAAAGAAAAUAUCUGCCUGUAAC